CGCCUUGCCAGCCCGCUCAGAAACUUAAAGGAAUGACGGGGCCCGCACAAGCGGAGGAACAUGUGGUUUAAUUCGAUGAUACGCGAGGAACCUUACCUGGGCUAGAACGCAUUCGGAAUCAGGCCGAAAGGUCUGCGCCAGCGAUGGCCGCUUGCGAGGUGCUGCAUGGUUGUCGUCAGCUCGUGCCGUGAGGUGUCGGGUUAAGUCCCAUAACGAGCGCAACCCCUACUGCUAGUUGCCAGCGGGUCAUGCCGGGGACUCUAGCGGAACUGCCAGCGUAAGCUGCGAGGAAGGUGGGGAUGACGUCAAAUCAGCACGGCCCUUACGUCCAGGGCUACACACGUGUUACAAUGGCCAGUACAGAGGGCAGCCACCCCGCGAGGGGGCGCUAAUCCUAAAAGCUGGUCCCAGUUCGGAUCGGAGUCUGCAACCCGACUCCGUGAAGCUGGAUUCGCUAGUAAUCGCGCAUCAGCCACGGCGCGGUGAAUACGUUCCCGGGCCUU
rnacentral:rRNA from 1 species